AACGAACGCUGGCGGCAGGCCUAACACAUGCAAGUCGAGCGGUCCCGCAAGGGGCAGCGGCAGACGGGUGAGUAACACGUGGGAAACUACCCCGAGGUACGGAACAACUCGGCGAAAGCUGAGCUGAUACCGUAUGUGACCGAGAGGUGAAAGAUUUAUCGCCUCGGGAUGUGCCCGCGUCGGAUUAGCUAGUUGGUGAGGUAACGGCUCACCAAGGCGACGAUCCGUAGCUGGUCUGAGAGGAUGAUCAGCCACACUGGGACUGAGACACGGCCCAGACUCCUACGGGAGGCAGCAGUGGGGAAUAUUGGACAAUGGGGGCAACCCUGAUCCAGCCAUGCCGCGUGAGUGAUGAAGGCCUUAGGGUUGUAAAGCUCUUUCGCCCGCGAAGAUAAUGACGGUAGCGGGAGAAGAAGCCCCGGCUAACUUCGUG
rnacentral:rRNA from 2 species